rnacentral:rRNA from 1 species
AACGAACGCUGGCGGCAGGCUUAACACAUGCAAGUCGAGCGCCCCGCAAGGGGUGCGGCCGACGGGUGAGUAACGCGUGGGAACGUACCUUUUGGUUCGGAACAACUCCGGGAGACUGGAGCUAAUACCGGAUAAGCCCUAACGGGGAAAGAUUUAUCGCCGAAAGAUCGGGCCGCGUCUGAUUAGCUAGUUGGUGAGGUAACGGCUCACCAAGGCGACGAUCAGUAGCUGGUCUGAGAGGAUGAUCAGCCACACUGGGACUGAGACACGGCCCAGACUCCUACGGGAGGCAGCAGUGGGGAAUAUUGGAGAAGGGGCGCAAGCCUGAUCCAGCCAUGCCGCGUGAGUGAUGAAGGCCUUAGGGUUGUAAAGCUCUUUUGUCCGGGAAGAUAAUGACUGUACCGGAAGAAUAAGCCCCGGCUAACUUCGUG